GAAAGCGAAGAAUUCCACCCCAUGCCAAGAUGCUAGACAUUCGGGGGUUCAAAAAAGAAAUACACAUCAAGGAGUCAGGCUGCGCAGCAGUUAGAGACUGUUAGUUUUGGCAGACGACUCGGGGACGUCCUUCCAGUCCUCCAGUUUAAGGGUUUUCCUUGAAUAAUAACAUUAAAAAGAAUCAUGGAAUCACCAUGCGAGUUUUUCAUUCGCUUAUUCAACGAUGCUGGUGCGGUC
rnacentral:misc_RNA from 1 species